ACGAGAUUUCUCCACAAUUUCGUACUCAGAUGGGCGACGGCUACGACUUUUUUGCGUCGGUACGAGAUGGCGUAAGUAUACAGCAUGCGUUUCGCUUGACGAAUCUCGUAGUCGUACUCGUACUCGUAGUCAAAUCUAAAGCUCCCUAAUAGGCUAAUACCCCCAUCGCUACGGCCCUGAGCCGGCUAUUACGUACAUAAAUACGAGGUUGUUACCUGAUAGUAUUUAAAUCAAGGAAUGAUGGCAUUUUGAUUUAAUCGUUGCACCCUGAGCCUGCGAUGCGCUAACGCAAACUCGAUUUCUCAACGACGAAAACAACAGGAAAAAACAGAAACUUAGAGAUUUAAGACACUUGACCUUGCAGGUCAGUGUAAUUAUUGAAAUUAUGGAAUUUAGGGUUAAAGUACUGUAAUAAUUUGCUUGUGUG